rnacentral:lncRNA from 1 species
CGUUCUUUCCUCCCGAAUGUCCUUGUUAAGCUUAACAGGAACAACUAUUAUUUAUGGAAAAGCAUCAUGACUCCUCUCCUAAGAGUAUAUUAGCUUCUUGAUUAUGCUGAUGGCACCAUCCCACCCCCAUCGAAAACUAUCAUAGUUUCAAAUGGAGAUACAACCAAAGAAAUCCCAAAUUCAAAAUAUGAAAAAUGACUCAUUCAAGAUCAAUUCGUCCUCAUUUGCCUCAUGAUUAAUUGCC